rnacentral:rRNA from 1 species
CACGUAGGGUGCGAGCGUUGUCCGGAAUUAUUGGGCGUAAAGAGCUCGUAGGCGGCUUGUCGCGUCGGAUGUGAAAGCCCGGGGCUUAACUUCGGGUCUGCAUUCGAUACGGGCAGGCUAGAGUUCGGUAGGGGAGAUCGGAAUUCCUGGUGUAGUGGUGAAAUGCGUAGAGAUCAGGAAGAACACCCGUGGCGCAAGCGGCCACCUGGCAGAGACCUGACGCUGAGGCACGAAAGCGUGGGGAGCGAACCGG